rnacentral:rRNA from 1 species
AUUGAACGCUGGCGGCAUGCCUUACACAUGCAAGGUCGAACGGCAGCACGGGAGCAAUCCUGGUGGCGAGUGGCGAACGGGUGAGUAAUAUAUCGGAACGUGCCCAGUCGUGGGGGAUAACGCAGCGAAAGCUGUGCUAAUACCGCAUACGAUCUAUGGAUGAAAGCGGGGGAUCGCAAGACCUCGCGCGACUGGAGCGG